rnacentral:misc_RNA from 1 species
UUUCCCGAAAGCAAGAUGGCUGCGUGUUUCUGUUGUUUUCGUUGUUGUUGGCCAGGAUCGGGCUUUGGGCAGGGCCACAUCAAGUUACAGGAACUCCCGAUUGUGAAAUUAGACACAACGCAUAUGGGAAAUGAUGUUGUGAUUGUGAAGAGCGGGAAGAGGAUAUGUGGAACAGGAGCCGCACUUGCCAACGCACCCAUCGUACAGAACAAAGCAUACUUUGAAAUCAAAAUACAGAGCUCAGGUGUAUGGGGCGUGGGCUUGGCCACACGGAAGUGUAACAUCAAUGUGGUGCCUCUGGGUGACACAACUGACUCGUGGAUACUGAGGCAUGAUGGGACGCUGUACCACAACAACGAGGAGUUCGCCAAGGUGGCCCAAAUAGCGCAGGAAGGAGACAUCGUGGGCAUCACGUACAACCACAUUGAGAUGAACUUCUACAUCAAUGGGGAUGCUGUCAACGUCCCAUUCACAGGCAUCCGAGGCACAACAUACCCAGUGUUCUAUGUUGAUGAUGGUGCCGUCUUAGAUGUCCAGUUUGAGAAGUUCUACCACCAACCACCAGAAGGCUACGACAGCAUCAUGAUAGAGCAAUCUCUGCUCUGAUUGGUCAGUGUGAGGACUUCUUGACUGUGAUUGGCUGAGAGAGACACUGUGUUUGCUGCUAUGGCAACUAUCACUAUGGUUGCCACAUAUGUUGAUGGGAGGGGAAGGAAUCUAUUUGCCAGGAGAAGCACCCAGAGAUAAUGAAGAUGUCUUGGCACAGGGAGACAGACCGGUUGACUGGAAACAAGCCAGGAUGGCAUCAAUCUCUAACACAUGUUGAACUGCCAACUUCCAAUUUGUGGAACAUUUGUCCAAGACACGACAAGAUCAUUUCCGUAUCAAUAGGUACUCCGUGAACGAAGAACCAGCGCAAAUAUUUAUGAACUUAUUUCUUUAUGAAUUUAUUCUUAAUAUUCAUAUUAAUAUUUUUCUCAUUCAUAAACUGUAGUUCUUUUAAAAUAUAUUACUCAAAGAAGUCAACAUAACAGAGCUGUUAUUGAUAUAUGAAAGAAUCAGGUGUUCUUUGACUUCUUUUGAGUAUUAUAUUUGAACAAUGGUUUUAACGCAUAGAGUGCAAGUCAAACAUAUUACAUGUAUAAUCAUAUUUACUUGGUAAAACAGUUACAGUGAAAUGUUGUGAUGUCAUAAACCUUCAGACGAAAUAGAACCCUUUUGGAAGUUGAAAUAGUAAGUGUCUUGACCCACACUCUCUGAAGGUUAAAGUUCAUUACGUGACCCCUGACCUCCUCUCCAUCUUGGUCAGUGACAUUAAGUUAUUGUGAUUUGGAAAAAAGCCUUGGUCCUGAAAGACACAUGUAUAUAUAUACUGACAUCCUUAGCUGAUGAGCUGGCUUUCAGAUUCAAGAUACUUAUUUUUUAAAUGAAAUUAAAAUUAAAGUUCAGUUUGUUACAACACCGAAAAAUACCUUUGAAGAAAAAAGAUUAAUACAGACAUCCUUAUGAUGUGUCCAGCUUCUGAUGUUUAAAAUGAACAUUCACUGUAACCAAAGGAACAGAUUAUAUUAGCAGCAUAGCCAAACCAAUUUCUGAUAUUGUUUUAAUCCAACUACAUCAAUAUUCUGGAUUUUAGUACCCGUAUAUUCGUGUUUUGGUUUGUAUGGUUUAUUGACCGAGAUGAAUAUCCGGCUUCAAGUUGCUUGUAACUUAGCUUCAAGUUUGUUGGCAUGUUACCCAAAAGCAUGAGAAGGAAUUAUCGAAGUCGGGAAAACUUGUGCAUUCUCUUUUUCUUCAAAUUCGAUACAUUUCAAUAAAACUCACCAAAUAUAUUCAUAUAUUUACAAAUAAUUGUACUUCAUUGUAAAAAGCAUGAUAUUCACUUUUUGGAAAGUUUUAUUCAAUGAAAACCAUUAUGAGAUUGGCAUCAUGAAGAUAAACACAAUAUAGACUUAUUAUUGAUAUUAUUUAUCCACACGUCCAUCUUAUUUUUUCACUUUUAAUUCGGGACCAAAGUAUUUUCUUGUUAGGCCAUUAUUUUUAUAUUUCUGGAUCACAGAUCCGCAGAACCCUUUUUCUUCAAAUUUGAAAAUCAUAAUAAUCCAAAUUUACACAUAUUUGUUUUCUGCCGACACGUCAUACACGUAAAAUUGUUUUGCGAUUACUCAGUGUUUUGAAACCAAAAUCACCCAUAAAACUUGUGAUGCUCUUUUGGACAUUAAUGUUUUGAAAAAUUGUUCAGUUCAUGAGUUGUAGCAAAAUUCCUUGCACAGUAAACCUAGAGUUAUGUCCCUUCACUUUUACACAGAUCUGUAGAAUUAACUCCCUUUGUCUUUGGACAAAAGACAAAGCUUGUAGCAAAUCGGGGCUAAAGAAAUGGAAUUCAUUUAUUUUUUAUUUUCUUAUCCCCUUACUCCUACCCACCAAGUAAUAUAGAAACAAUCUGUCAUCCAGUUUAAAAAAGAAAUUUGAUGUCAACAUUUUUUAUAAAAUCUUAUUCCUUCCUCCAACUUCUGACUUUGACAAAACGAAUCUGUCAUCCAUCAAAUAAAAGAAUAAUGUCCUUAUACAGAGGAGUCAAGCCUAAUAGUUUGCAAAAGUAAAACAAAUGUGAUUUAUUUGAUUAAAUAUGUACUUUUUUAAACAUAAAUGAAAACGUUUGUGAAAUUAACCUCAAUCUUUGACAACCCUUUUAUUUAUCAACUAUUGCCUCCUGUUGUUUGUCAUGCUAACUGAAUAAAAUGUAGGAAAUUAAUUUGGUCUGGAUGAAGAUUAAUAAAAUUUCAUUAAAUUUGGUAGCACACUUUAGGAUAUGAAAAAAAUAGGCUGCCGUCCACAUCAGAUAUAGAAGAAAAUACCCAAGAAACUAUCGGUUUUAUUUUUUCAUUUCGUGAUCAUUUAUGAAUGCUGAAGUACAAGGCAAGUACAAGAUGGUAGUAGUUGUACGAUGUGAUGCUGUCAUUGACUAUUUGUGUCACCAGUUGUAUGCUUGUUGUAAAGCUAGACUGUCUUCAGUCUCUACUCUGUGUUUUGUAUGUACCCUUCAAGUCCAGAUCUGCAUACAGUCACUGUUCAUUGCAUUGAUAACUGUUGAUGAUGUUGGUAGGUUGUAUUUGUGAACUGCAUCUUACCGUCAGCUGAAACUGUCAAUUAUCAGUAAAUUAAAAACUAUGUGUUCAGGGUUACCCAGGUUGAAGAACAGGAGACAAAAUCCAACAUGGUAUUAAGAUUAAAAAAAUAAUUGUCUUGGUUCUCAGGCAUGGCACCAUAAUCAUAAAAUCUGCCGAACUUUUCUCUUUUAUUUUCAUUUUCAAAAUUUAAAAAGAAAUCCUUAUACUUAAAAACCAUGUGAUCCAAUUUAGCAAGCAGUUACUUCCCUUACAUGCUCACUGCUUUACUGUGCAUCUCGUGUUAUGGUCAUGGUGGCAAUAGGAGUUUGUGUGCUUGUUUAUGUAGGGAGGCCCUUUUCCCCAGGGGGAUCAUACACAACUGUUUAUUUGGUUACAUACUUGUUUGAACAAGGCAAAAAAAGCACCGCCAGCCCGCCUGCACUAUAUUUGUAAAAGUCAGUGCCUGGGAACCAAUUUUUUUUUUUUUUUUAAAGACCAACAGAUGAUUUUUUUAAAAUGUUAUGUUGAUUUUUUUCAUUUUCUUUGUCAUGCAUAAUAAAAAGAGCAGUUUUUAUCAUUUUUUUUGUUUUUGUUGUUUUAAAACAAACAGAAGCAAAACAAAAAGGUUGUUGUUGGUUACAUUAGUAACCAUGGUAACAUUAAUGCACAAUGAUAACUGCAUUAAACUGUUUCUUUACAUCUUGCAAAUCUUUCUUGAUUCUAGAAAUAUCGACAAUGGUCUUUUUCUGGUCUUUUUAAUUUGAUUUCUUUGGUAGUUGGAUUAGAAUAGGUCCCCAGGGUUAGAAUAGGUCCCCAGCAAUGUAUGCUGGUCAGAGAGGUGACCAAAUGGAUCAGGUGGUCAGACUAGUGACUGGGUUGAUGAAGUGUCAUCCUACCCAGACAGUUGGGAUUGUUGCUCAAAAUAUCAAUCACUGAAUUGUCUGGUCCAGACUUGAUUAUUUACAGGCCACUGACAUAUUGCUGGAAUAUUGCUGAGUACAAUGUUAAACAACAAACAAGCAAAUUUGUAUUUGCAUAAGUAUUCUGGCGAUAAUAGUGAGUAUGGUUUUACACCACUUUUAGCAAUAUUCCAGCAAUAUCACAGCGAGGGACACCAGGAAUGGGCUUCACACAAUGUACCCAUAUCGGGAAUCGAACCCGGGUCUUCGGCAUUACGAUCGAACGCUUUAAGCACUAGGCUACCCGACCGCCCCGCUGGCGAUAAUACUUUCCUAACUCCUACUUGUAAGAGUUAACUAAAGUGGUCAGGUGGUCAGCCUCUGUGACUUGGCUGACUGCAUGUCAUCGUGACCCAGAUGGUGCUCAUGCUUUCAGUCACUGGUUUACAGGUACAGACUGGAUUAUUUACAGGCUGCAUCGAUAUGCAUGGAAUAUUGCUGAUUGUGCAUUAAUAACAUUCACUCACUCACUCAAAGGUUUAUUACAUGAGAAUCAAAGUCUCUUCUCAUUUUGGAAAAUCUUGUUUAUGGAGACUUGGCACUUCCGUAGAACCAAUCCUUGUCAUGUAUAUAUAAGACACUUUUAAUAUUGCUGUCAUUGAAUAUAAAUGUGUUAAUGAUUAAUGUUUAUUAAGCAGUAGUACCAUGUAUUUAUUUUUUCCCACUAACCGACUGACCCCCAAACCUUCAUGCCAAAUAUAUUUACCAAAUAUUGAGUUUCACAAAUGUAGUUUUGUUGUGACCAUCUCAAGUUUAUUUGUAAACAAAAUUAUUUGAACCAAAAUAUAUAAAUGCAGGGACUUAACAUGGGUGCUUUAAAUGUUUACUAUUGAAAUACAUGUCGAUGGUAAAGGUGUUAAAAGACUUCAGUGAAUGCCCCUAAAACCAUAUUGUUAGUACCGUAUUCGCUGUAAUAGGCACCUGGGAAAAUAGAUAAUUGACAAAAAAAGUGGUGCUUAUUAAACCAUACACAACAAGUUAAAAUAUUGAACAAAUUUGGUUGAAAUGUUGAUGGAAAUUGAACAUUUUAAUGAUAGUUUCUUGGCAGUUAUAUAAAUCUAGAUACACUGCUGUUUUCUGUAAUACAUCUAUAAUAUACACUAGGAAAUACAAAAUGUAUUGUAAAUUUUCGAGCUUACUAUGAAUCACUUAUGACGAUCAUUUACAGACUGAUGUAGUCGGGACACUUAAUACGGACAAUACGGUAAUGAGAGCCCGGCAGAUCCAUGUGUUCAGUGUUUUGUGGGUCAGUCUUCUAUGUAUGUAUCUGUGUUCCCUGUCAUGGAAAACCAUGUCAAGUUGUUGUUAUUUAUUUCUGAAAGUACAUCUACUCUUGUUGUUUUACCUCUGCCCAUGUUACAGUUCAGCUUUCUACAUUGUAAACAAACAUGCAUAUAUGUAGCAAUGUAUUUGAAUAAACAUGGUGAAACUGGAAUUGAAUACUGAAAAACAUGUUAACUCAUCAUAACAUAUUUAUUUUGUUCUUUGGCUUAAGAGAAAGAAAAUGUUUCACGGGCAUCAGUACAUCACUCAAAAAAACAUUUUUAGUUGCCUUUUAAAAACAACAACUCAUAUUUCCUGCGUCCUAUGAAGCAGACUCUAUUAUUCAUUCAAUGAACAUAAUUGCUUCUGUUUGUUAUAAAGAGCUGAAUUCAGUGUGUGCUCAUUCGUGUUUGUUGGUAUUCUUGGUGGUAAAAAGAGUUCAUCUCUCAUCACUUCAUCUUCACGAGGCAAAGGACUUAACUGACUAUAAAAGUCCAGUUCCCACCCUUGCUGAAUUAGGCUGGAAUUUUAAAGGCUCGAUCGUAGCGUCACCAGUGGCUAUUACGAGUUAUGUCCCUUCCACGUCCCUCCUAUUAACCAAUCAGAUUCCAUCGCUCAUAUCGCUUCCAUUUGCCUCAAACAAAAUGGCGGCACCCAGUCAAGAUCUGAUCGAAAAUCAAGAUCUAUUUUGUAAUAAAACGAGUCUUACCCCACGAAGUGCAUUAAAUCACUUGAGCACCUGGAUUAAAAACAUGAAAAUAUUUGCAAAAUAUCUGUCGACGCCUAGUUGGCGGUACACAUUUUUUGCAAAGCCUGCAGUCGACUGCACUUUGAAAUCCAUGUUGUUUACAAUGUCUAGUUCGUUACAAGAUUUUGAUUAGACUAUGCAUAGUCUCAUUAUUCAAGCCAAAAUGUAACCCCGGAAUUCCAGCCUAGUUCAGCAAGGGUGGAACUGGACUUUUAUAGUCAGUUAACUCUCUUGCCUCGGGAAGAUGUCAUCACUUGUGAGAUAAUGUGACUAAGAAACAUUGUUACGUAAUACAUUAGCAUCCUUUUUUUCACAAAAUAUGAAACAUGUUUCGAGAUGUCAACAUGCAUAUUUUGUCAUUAAACGUUCAUUUUACUUACAUUUUCAACAUUUCCUUGCCAGCCAUCUUUCCUCAUUCCACUAACUGGUGAUGAGGCGGUUCUGUUGUCAUGGAAACGACCUUUUUGUUUACAAUGAUGACAAACACUGUGUUUUCUUGUUUGUGCUUGCUAUAGAGCAUUGUAUUCCUGGAACUGAUCUUGUUUGCCAGAUGUGCGAUAUAUAAAAACUCAAAGCCCAUUUCAGUGAUAGAGUAUUGGGGUUAUAAUCAUUGAAAUUGCACGUGGAACGAGAAAGGGGCAUAAAAUAUUUAAUGAUAUGAUAUUCAUGAUUUAGUAAGUUUCUGCUUGAACUAGUCAGAGGUUACAUAUCUGAAUCAAGGCAACCACUUGAAUAAGUGAAUUACAAUUUUGCUGACCCCCCCCCCCCCUGUCUCGGGAUGUGUAUGCCAACAAUGUGAUGUUUUGAACGUUUUGGAAUCCAGUUAUCUCCCUUUGAAGUUGUCUCCCCUUCUUGAUUGUUUAAGUAAUUGUUACUGUCUCUGCUGGUUAUGGUAGAUCUGCACAUCACAUCCUUGAAGCCUUCAAUGAAACAGAUUUUGCCUUCUUCACAUGCUUUGAGAGUAGACUCUCUUCCUUGUUAAUAUUAUUUUAAAGGCAAUAUCAAUAUUCUUGUUUCCCCAAACUGACUGGGCAGGUAGGUAGUAUUUUUCCAUUUUUAAAUUUGUUACAUAUCUGAGAAAGUAAUCCUGAUUCUUAUCUACUUUGUGACCUUUUUUGACAACUGUAUUUCGGGUAUGAGUGAGUUUGGUUUCAGCUGCCUUGAACGGUAUUCCAGUUGUAUCAUAACUGUAAGUGGAGCAGGCCUCAGAUGUUUACCACAUUGAUGAAACCCACAAGCAUGAGUAUGGAGGUGACAAAUCUAGAAACAUAAUCGGGGCAGAAUGGGUUGCGAUCAUAGGUGUCUGGCGUGCCCAAGGGGCACAAUUCUGCACAGUAUUCAACAAAUGCUACCAAGUGCCAUUAAGUGUAGCUAUUGACCUUGACCUUUCCCUACUGACCUCAAACUUGUAGUGUUUGAGUUUACUCUUUCAAUAAAAAAUUAAAAAAUGAAUAUGAAUAAGCUGAUGAGCUAAUUUGUAAAAUGUAUAGGAGUGGGUGCUUGAAUCUGUGUAUGCCCAAUGCUAUCAGUUCCAAAUGACAUUUGGGCGGUCGGGUAGCCUGGUGGUUAAAACGUUCGCUCGUCAUGCCGAAGGUCCAGGUUCGAUUCCCGACGUGUACAAGGUAUGAAGCCCAUUUCUGGUGUCCCCCGCCGUGAGAUUGCUAGAAUACUCACUCACUCACUCACCCAAAUGACAUUGCUGUGCAUCAAAUGACUAUUAAACACCUACUAAUCUGAAUACACUUUUAUUGCCUAAAUAUUAAAGUUUACGUGAAAUCAGCCUGUAUUACACUGUUUUAUAUGGAGUCUGUGUAGGUAAGGGUCAAGGUCGCAUAGAGAUCGUGUAGGUAAGGGUCAAGGCCGCAAGUCUGGUAGGGAAAGGUCUCAUACAGUGUGUAUGGAAGUGUAAAGGUCGCAUGGAUUCUGUAGGGCAGGGUCAAGGUUGUAUGGUCUUGGUCAGGAAGGGUCAAGGUCGUAUCGAGUAGGGAAAGGUCAAGAUUGUUCCAUGGCCCAGAUUAGUUUUAUCAGCUCGGCGCCUGUAUUGUGAUAUCUAUGUUGUGCGAGAAUGUUGUGAAGUCUAUUUUCUGUUAUGUUGGUAAGUUAUUCAGUGGAUUGUGAUAAACAGCUCAAGCUAUGGUACUUCAUCAUUAAGACAUCUGUGAAACCAUCCUUACAAGGCCUCCGAUAAAUAAACACCGAUUUUAUUCUCAGUCAACUUUUAUAACAUAUUCAUUCAAGACAAAUGGCAGAGAUAUCAUGACAAAACUCUCAAAUUUUGAUAGGGCUGUUUUGAGUAUCUGGAAGGGCUUCUUCCUCUAUUGAUGCAUGUCAUCAUGUCCCAAUUGCAUAGAUCGAUGCUCAUGAUGUCUAUCACUGGAUUGUCUGGUCCAGACUCAAUUAUAUACAGACCGCCGUCAUAUAGCUGAAAUAUUGCUGAGCGCGGCGUUAAACAACAAACAUCAAACAUCCUCUAUAGUCCAGUGUCUUCGUACUCCAUUAUGUCCUAUUUUUAGGAUCAUGUCAUUCAAACCGGCUUCAAAAAUGAAGCUGAAGUCGGGAAUGGGUCCUAGGUAUUUAACCUACUAGCAUGGAGAUAUAACACCCUUGAUAAUGCAGGAUGGAUGACUAUGAAGACUGUUGAAUCAGGAAUAGUAUGUGAUGCUCUCAUAGUACGGAACAUUGUAAGCUUCAUGGCAUAUUAUGAUAAAUAUAAGUACACUUUUCCAUAACAUGUCCUCUGGUGUUCAUGAUACUAACAGUAUGAAGUAUAUCGUAUCCCUAUCCAACUUAAAUAUAUGUAGCAAGAACAGUCAGGACAAUAUAUAUACUGAGCAAAAUAAGUUUGGGAUCAUGAAGAUUUGGGGGGAUAUCUUUUCUCGAUUCAUUACAAAAAAUAUUCCCCAAAAUAUUCCUGAUCCCAACUCUUUUUGUUUGUUCAGUAUAUAAUUAUGCUGUCCUGUUUUGAGCCUUAAUCAAUUAAAUAGACAAGAAAAUGAAAUAUGUGUGUUUUUAAUUGAUCAGAUAUCAACCUUUUCCAGAAUCUGUUGUCAUGCUGAGAAUGCAUUAUGCCAAACGAAAAAAAUAUAUUUGUAUUUCAGCUUUUAGUUAUCAUGGACCAAGAGAUGUAGCUGGUUUGUUUUAAAAUUGAAAAUGUUUUUCAUAUUUCCAGUUCCUGUAUGAAUAUUUAUGCUUGUCAAUUUGGCAGGGAAUUCGAUGUUGGUUUUGGCGUGAACUUUGUUUGAGAAACAGUAAAUCUGUAUUCAAGCUUACCACUUUUCCUCCAUUUUGUACAGCUCUGGCUCUGCCAGUAGUGACGGCCUUCAUGUUGCUCUGUGUACACAAACCUCAAUGUAUUGUCUGUAUGUAACAUGUCAAUAAAGUGUUACAGUCA